ensembl:misc_RNA Metazoa_SRP Metazoan signal recognition particle RNA
GCCAGGUGGCAUGGUGGCUCACAGCUGUAGUCCUAGCUACUCGGGAGGUUGAGAAUCACUUGAACCCAGGAGUUCUGGGCUGUAGUGUGCUAUGUCCAUCAGGUGUCCAUACUAAGUUCAGCAUCAAUAUUCUGGGAGCAGAGGACCACUAGGUUGCCUAUGGAGGGGUGAACCACCCCAGGUCGGAAACAGCGUAGGUCAAAACUCGUGUGCUGAUCAGUAGUAGGAUCACACUUGUGAAGUGAAUAGCCACUGCACUCCAUCCUGGGCAACAUAGUGAGACUCCAUCUCAU